rnacentral:rRNA from 1 species
GAUGCAGCCAUGCCGCGUGUGUGAAGAAGGCCUUCGGGUUGUAAAGCACUUUCAGUAGGGAGGAAGGUAGUGUAGUUAACACCUGCAUUAUUUGACGUUACCUACAGAAGAAGACACCGGCUAACUCCGUCGCCAGCAGCCGCGGUAAGUACGGAGGGUGCGAGCGUUAAUCGGAAUUACUGGGACGUAAAGCGCAUGCAGGCGGCCUGUUAAGUCAGAUGUAGAAAGGACCCGGGGACCGUUUAACCGUACCGGUAAAGUUGCUAUUUAGUAAACUAGGCGAGGCUAGAGUCUUGUAGAGGGGGGUAGGAAUUUCAGGUGUAGCGGUGAAAUGCGUAGAGAUCUGAAGGAAUACCAGUGGCGAAGGCGGCCCCCUGGACAAAGACUGACGCUCAGAUGCGAAAGCGUGGGGAGCAAACAGGAUUAGAUACCCUGGUAG